GCCAAAAUGGACGGGGAUGCAAUUUCUCCGUUCGUAGAAGGAAGUCGACCAAAGCCAAAUACUUGUUUUGUGUACAUUCUGACGUCAUUUGCGACACUUGGUGGUCUUCUCUUCGGAUAUGACAUCGGGAUCGUCUCGGGGUCGAUGCUGCUGAUACAGCCGUAUUUCCAGCUGACGACAUUCUGGCAGGAGCUGAUUGUCAGCGGUACAAUCAUUGCGGCUGUAGUGUUCGCCCUCGUGGCUGGCGUCAUGGCUGACUUGGUUGGGCGUAAAAAGACGAUUAUGUCAGCCAGCGUUGUCUUCGUGUUGGGGUCAGUGGUGAUGGGUGUGGCGUCGUCGAAGGAGGUGUUGCUGACAGGGAGGAUCGUCGUCGGGGUUGGCGUCGGUCUGGCUUCGGUGGCUGUGCCUGUGUACGUGGCGGAAGCUGCCCCGAGGCACAUCCGGGGACGUCUGGUGACCUUGAACCAGCUCUUCAUCACCAUUGGCAUCCUCAUCUCCUCCAUCAUCGCCGGUGGCUUCAGCGAACUCCAGGAGACGGGGUGGAGGUACAUGUUAGCACUGGCAGGGGUGUUCGCCAUCUUCCAGUUUAUUGGCUUCUUCUUUCUUCCGGAGAGUCCAAGAUGGCUGCUUAGCAAAGGGCGUGGUGAAUUAGCACGUGCAGUGCUCACGCAUAUCCGAGGUGGUGAAGACAUAUCUAUAGAACUGGCAGACAUCCGGACAUCAGUCACCGAAGCAAGCAGUAGCGCCACAGGUGGCCGACCUGUGAUACUCCGAGUACUUUCAACCCCUCACGUGCGGAAAGCCCUGAUGAUUGGAGGGGGGCUGUCGGUCUUUCAGCAGCUGUGUGGUAUAAACACUGUCAUAUACUACAGUGGCACGAUUCUCAAGAUGGCGGGGUUUCCGGUGAAGCACGCUAUCUGGUUGGUUGUCGUGCCCAAUGUCGUCAACUUCCUGGCCACGUUCAUUGGCUUGUGGCUCGUCGAGAGGUUAGGCAGGCGACUACUUCUCAUCAUCAGUGUUUUCGGUGUGAUUGUAUCAUUGGCAACUCUUGCGAUCGGCUUCCAGCUGUCAUAUGUCUACUCCCCUCGACUCAACUACACCGCAACAGCUUCUACAUUCACGGCAAUCAGCGACGCCAACAGCACCAAGCACCAUGUCUGCUUUCAACCAUAUAGAACAUGUGAAGAGUGCAUCCACCACAAGGUCUGUGGCUUCUGUCAGAGCGACACGAAGGAAGCGACCUGCCUCCCGGCCAAAGAUGAAACAGACUCACUGAUUGGCCCGUGUAAUUCAACCAGCUCAGGGGUGUCAGGAUACACGUGGGCCUAUGGCUACUGCCCAAAUGACUACACGUGGAUAUCGGUUGUCGGCAUGACCAUGUUUGUCCUUGCAUUUGCACCGGGUCUGGGACCCAUGCCGUGGACGGUCAACUCGGAGAUAUACCCACUGUGGGCGAGAAGCACAUGCAACUCAAUCACCACGGCAACAGUUUGGAUAUGUAAUUUCAUCGUAUCUAUGACAUUCCUUACCUUCACGGAACUAAUCACCAAGCACGGUACAUUCUGGAUGUUCAGCGGUGUCUCUGUGCUCGGCCUCAUCUUCAUCUGCAUCUUCCUCCCAGAGACGAAGGGCAAGACUCUGGAGGAGGUUGAGGAGCUCUUCAUGUCGGAGGAAGACAAAGUUCAUCACGAGGAGAGGAGGAGGACAAAAUAUACUGACUAGUGAUCCAGAACUCACUGUUAUAGUUCGUUUGACUACAACAUUAAACAUCUGAAUAUUACAGUUAUGCGACGCCGGUCUGGACCAGACAACCCUGCUCUCGUUAAUCGCCUCUUAGGACAAGCAUAGGUUGCUGAGGACCAGGGGCGGUAUUCAUAAAAAAAACCUUAGGCUAGGAUUUUUCGUAAGUCUAAACUUAAUUUCUUUUUUCAGACUUAAGUUCUUUUAUGAAUACCGCCCCAAGUCUAACCCGAAUCUUAACUGGGACCUGGACACGUAUUUGGCACCCGUCACAAAUACACGCAAUGGCAAGUAAAUUGUGCUCAUGAAAAAGCAAGGGGACAUAAAGUUCAAGUCAAAAUAGUCCAAGUAGACUUUUGUGGGCUCUUUAUUGCUUAAUUCAGCGGGCACUGGCAGAAUAUGUAACUGAACCGGGUCAAUAUAAAAUUAUGUAAAUGACAAGUCAAUCCAUAUGUGCUGUUACUUUUAAACCAUUAUAUCAGUUUGCUUAUUUGUAUAAUCUGCUCCUUAGUGAUUACUCAGUUUUCAGAAAUGAGACAUUGUUAUAUUUUGUAUUUGCUGUUUUAUAUUGGAGCAUAUUGGUUAAUCGUGUCAUUUAGAUUAGUCACUGUAAUUUGUUUAUAACAAUGUCAUGUGUUGGGCUCAAAAGACCUACUUCUUGUCCCAGUCGCCCCUGAAACUAAAUCACCACCAAUACCCACUGCUUGUUUGCCCGUGUUUGCUGUAGGGCUCUGAAUAAAUACAUAAAUAACAUCGUUA
rnacentral:misc_RNA from 1 species